GACGAACUGUGGGUGUCCCUUUAAAUUGUCAUGAAAGCAUCAGUUGUCCAAUCAGAUACAUGCAAGACUAUAUAAAAGGGGACUUUUAAUGCACCAUGUUGUGUGAUCACCGCUUGUGUGUCAUUGCCCGAGGCCCGCCCCUUCCUGGUUUAGACUCUUUCUGUCUCACAGUUUCCAACGUGUAAUCAUUCCAUGUGGCUCGGCGACUGCUUUUAAACAUGAACCCACCGUAAUCCCGUGCCUUCUUGCCGGUUUGAUGUCCAUUUGCCUGUGCGGCUGGACUUGUGGUCGAAACGACAAUAUUAAGGAACCGAGGCUUCAGGCAGACGGCUAGUUGGCCUUCGCGUGCGGUGGUGGGACUCUAUCACAGGGUGCAGUGUGUUCACGCUUGGUCUUACUGUGUUUGUGUGAGUGUGUGUGUGGUGCGUUUGUGCACUUGGCGUUAUGCUCCUGGCGAUAUAGUAGCCGCAUACUCAUUAAGCUAGUUUACCUGCUUUAGGUAAGCCUCGGUUUCCUUUUGUUUUAUGCCUAUUUUAUUCCAGCCCAUAGUCAUGUUUUAAAAGUAAAACCCAUAUUUAUUGUGAAAAAACAUUUUUUUGUAUCUUUGGUAUGCACGUCUCUUGCCUCUGUUUAUUGAAACCACGUACCUGUGUGUCUUUUGUAGAUGAUUAAUCUAUAAUAGUGUUCCCUGUUAACAGGGUGGCGUAGUCAGCUGAGUUAUAGUUUCUGUCUAAUUAACGUCCCGCCACACUUUGGCGUAGUCGGCAGGAUUGCGUUUCUCUUUGUUGGGCUGAGACGUGGAUGCUUAUUGUUAUUUUGUUAAAGGUUUUAGUUGUGACUUGUGGAUGGAUUAGAGGUUAUUUUUUUGU